rnacentral:rRNA from 1 species
GACGAACGCUGGCGGCGUGCUUAACACAUGCAAGUCGAACGGAAAGGCCCUGCUUUUGUGGGGUGCUCGAGUGGCGAACGGGUGAGUAACACGUGAGUAACCUGCCCCUGACUUUGGGAUAACUUCAGGAAACUGGGGCUAAUACCGGAUAGGAGCUCCUGCUGCAUGGUGGGGGUUGGAAAGUUUCGGCGGUUGGGGAUGGACUCGCGGCUUAUCAGCUUGUUGGUGGGGUAGUGGCUUACCAAGGCUUUGACGGGUAGCCGGCCUGAGAGGGUGACCGGCCACAUUGGGACUGAGAUACGGCCCAGACUCCUACGGGAGGCAGCAGUGGGGAAUAUUGCACAAUGGGCGGAAGCCUGAUGCAGCAACGCCGCGUGCGGGAUGACGGCCUUCGGGUUGUAAACCGCUUUCGCCUGUGACGAAGCGUGAGUGACGGUAAUGGGUAAAGAAGCACCGGCUAACUACGCG